ACGAACGCUGGCGGCGUGCUUAACACAUGCAAGUCGAACGGAAAGGCCCUGCUUUUGUGGGGUGCUCGAGUGGCGAACGGGUGAGUAACACGUGAGUAACCUGCCCUUGACUUUGGGAUAACUUCAGGAAACUGGGGCUAAUACCGGAUAGGAGCUCCUGCUGCAUGGUGGGGGUUGGAAAGUUUCGGCGGUUGGGGAUGGACUCGCGGCUUAUCAGCUUGUUGGUGGGGUAGUGGCUUACCAAGGCUUUGACGGGUAGCCGGCCUGAGAGGGUGACCGGCCACAUUGGGACUGAGAUACGGCCCAGACUCCUACGGGAGGCAGCAGUGGGGAAUAUUGCACAAUGGGCGGAAGCCUGAUGCAGCAACGCCGCGUGCGGGAUGACGGCCUUCGGGUUGUAAACCGCUUUCGGCUGUGACGAAGCGUGAGUGACGGUAAUGGGUAAAGAAGCACCGGCUAACUACGUG
rnacentral:rRNA from 1 species